rnacentral:rRNA from 1 species
GACGAACGCUGGCGGCGUGCUUAACACAUGCAAGUCGAACGGAAAGGCCCUGCUUGCCGGGUACUCGAGUGGCGAACGGGUGAGUAACACGUGGGUGAUCUGCCCUUCACUUCGGGAUAAGCCUGGGAAACUGGGUCUAAUACCGGAUAGGAGCCAUUUUUAGUGUGAUGGUUGGAAAGUUUUUUCGGUGUAGGAUGAGCUCGCGGCCUAUCAGCUUGUUGGUGGGGUAAUGGCCUACCAAGGCGGCGACGGGUAGCCGGCCUGAGAGGGUGGACGGCCACAUUGGGACUGAGAUACGGCCCAGACUCCUACGGGAGGCAGCAGUGGGGAAUAUUGCACAAUGGGCGCAAGCCUGAUGCAGCGACGCCGCGUGGGGGAGGACGGCCUUCGGGUUGUAAACUCCUUUCGCUAGGGACGAAGCUUUUUGUGACGGUACCUAGAGAAGAAGCACCGGCUAACUACGUG